GGUCUGCUGUGAUGAACCGCAUGUUCAGUCCGUGUUUCACCUGAUCUACCCUGAUUACACACAUGCCCUGAGCAGACU
ensembl:snoRNA small nucleolar RNA, C/D box 126